GUUGUGGCUCAGUGGUAGAGUACUUACCUCACACCUGUGAGGUACUGGGUUCAAUCCUCAGCACCACA
rnacentral:tRNA from 1 species